UACGUAGGGUGCAAGCGUUAAUCGGAAUUACUGGGCGUAAAGCGUGCGCAGGCGGUUGUGCAAGACCGAUGUGAAAUCCCCGGGCUCAACCUGGGAAUGGCAUUGGUGACUGCACGGCUAGAGUGUGUCAGAGGGGGGUAGAAUUCCACGUGUAGCAGUGAAAUGCGUAGAGAUGUGGAGGAAUACCGAUGGCGAAGGCAGCCCCCCUGGGAUAACACUGACGCUCAUGCACGAAAGCGUGGGGAGCAAACAGG
rnacentral:rRNA from 1 species